UUCUUUAUCUAUUCAUUAAUGAUGGACACUUGGGCUGCUUCCGUAUCUUGGGCAGCCGCCACUUUCUGAUCGUUGCAGGGUAGGGCUCCUGUGCCUCACCUGGACCCUCACCCUCUCCAUGCCCCCUACCCCCUGGGCCUUUAGGGGCUCUUGGGGAACCAGUACCAUAAGAGUUAAGGCGGGCCCUAAGGGUUGCCUUUUUCUAACUUGCCUAAAGGUGCGGCAGGGGCUAGGGACCCCCAGCCUUGACCCAGUCCUUCUCCGUCCAACACCUCCUCACGCCGGGACCUUCUGAUUUCUUCAACACCCUCUCUCCGCCUCCCUCCCAAGAUCUCUAACUGCCCACUGACAGCGCACCUCACCAGCCCGUACCUGGAUUCCUUCAGGACAGGCCUAUUGACACCCGUCGCCUAACUCCUCCCUCGCAGCCCUGACCUCGGACCCUCAUUCUCAUGCACAACAAGCCUUGGAACUCUCUAGCCAACAGGUCUUUGCCCCUGACCCUUAAGCCCCCGGAAGACCCCGGGCCUUUCUAAGCUCCGCCCACUGGAGGCCCCGCCCCUGCCCGCGUAGCGUCGUGCCCUCACCCUAUGCCUCACAGCUCGCGGGAGCGCACCGUCUACCCCUUUUCUGCAGGGCUCUCUUUCAGGAUUUGCGGCUUGGCCUGCCGGCAUUAACACUAACUGACGUCGCCGGUGAGACGGCGGUGGCGAGAUUGGGUCCUCUUGGCCGAAAGGCGCCGGCUCGCCUCUCAUUGCUUAGCUCCUCCCUGUCGUUAUUUGCGGCUGCGCGGUGGACGGUGGCGGUGUUUACUACUCUUGCGCAGAGAACGAAGCUGUGGUUGGCUCCAUAGCUCAGGGGUUAGAGCACUGGUCUUGUAAACCAGGGGUCGCGAGUUCAAAUCUCGCUGGGGCCUAUUUUCGUUUUUUUUUUUUAACCCUUGAAAGGUGGAAAAGCGUAACAUGCGUGAGCCGACACGAAUUUCCGCCCUCCUGGAAGGCGAGGCCCUAGGUGGAACUGACUGUUCUUGGCUCCUCAGAUACCCGGUGACCAGAAGUGGCCUUAUUUGUCCAAGAGCCAGACCCUCUGCGUCUGUGACCCUACGAUCACAGGCUCCUCUGGCUCCGUGCAACUUCUCCAAAGUGGUCCCUCGCAUCCUUCGCGUGCUCUCGGCAAGUCUGUGGUAGAUAUUUCCGUUUCCCUCCUCUCACCCCACUCAGGCCAGGGCCAAGUCCUCAUCUCUUUUUCGUUUAGUGGGGACCACCUGUCUACGGCCACCUCCCCACAACGCAUCCUGGGAAUCUGUUUUAGUCGGGAGGGGGACUAGGUUUAAGCCCCCGCUUAGCACGCCGUUGGUCCCCACAAUCUAGGUUCUAUAGUGAGGUAGGUGGUCGUGCAGUAGGGCAGGCACAUAGGGGUCGAUGGAUCCUCGGAGUCCGGGACGCGCAGGUGCCGGAAGGUACAGGUGCCCUCCUGGCCUAUCCCGGGCGUGUCUGUUCGGGUCUUGAUGCAGUCUUGGCUCUUUGAAUGGGACCAGGUGGGUGCGAAGGCGUGUGGCCCCCAUUCAACACGCUCCCCAAAUACUCCAUUCAUCUCCUCCGGCGUCUACCCAGGUUUGUGCGAGUGCUUUUCUCCACUUUGGUGCACCGGUCCCCGGUUGUUUUCGAAAUCCGAACGGCGCUAGAUAGCUGCCAGGAAUCAGCGCCGGGACUCUUCUAAGAAAGGGCUGGAGAGAGGGCUUCUGCGGGCUGGGAUGGCGCAGCAGGUCAGGGUCGCGCCUCUGCCUGAGCCAAGGCCGCCUGAUCGGGUCGUGCGUGCAAAGGCCGUGGCGGGAGGGUGCCCCAAACCCCCACGCGAGCCUGGCUCUGCCUAUCGGCCAGCAGCCGCAUUGUUCUCUGGGGAUUUAAUUUAAUUUUGUAUACUUCCUUGAACAGCAUAAAUAAAUCAAAGUCAGAAGGUUAGCAUAUAUUAAUUGUGUGUUUUAUUGUUUAAAAGAAAAAGUAAAUGGUUAAAAAAAAACCCGGAAGCAAAUGUGGCAGUUAUAAGCUUUAGGGCAGGUGUUACCAAUUGUGGAUGUUCGCACUUUUCUUAUAUAAUUCCAUAGAGAAGAGAAGCAAAUGCUUACAACACGGAGGCGGUAGUAAACCAGGAGCGCGAGGACACACGGUGGCCCAGCACAGAGCCCAUCCAACACUUUCUGCGCGCGAAAGGAGGCGAGGACAGUGCCGAUUGAGGAAGAUGCCGGUUAGCAUCUUGUUCUCCAAGGAAAAGGCCGAGGGGAGCCACGAAUGGAGCGGUCAACGCAGAGGGCUGAGCCAGAUGGUGGAAUGGCAGUGGAAAAAUUAGCACUUUUCCCCCUUGCAGUGGGUUAGCCAUCAUUCGUCUCCCACUCUGUUUUGUGACAGUCAUCUGCGUAGAGAAUUUUUCUGCUGGCGGCACAAAAAUAAACUUUUGGACCGGCUCGGAGUGGAUUUUCGUGAAUUUUACAGCAGGGAAUCAGAAUCGCUGUUUUUUGUUUGGCUUUUACUACUGAAUAACCCAGUGCGAUUAAGACUCUUCGGGGCGAAAGCAGCUCCAAGACGAGGGAGGAGAGCGUCCGCACAGUCCAGGACCCUGGUUCACCGGGAACGGAGGCUGCUGCCCGGCAAUCCCGGUAGAAAGCUUAGAAGGCAGAGAGCGGGGGCACCCAGCCUGCGCAGCGAGUGUGCGCGCGCUCUGAUGCGAGCCUCCGGAGCUGUGCACCCAGCCGCCGCAGCCAGUCAUCUCGUUUCUGCCUUACACUUCCCUACAUUUUCUGAAGGUUUUGCAAAUAGCUUUGCAAACAGUAUGUGUUGCUUUUCAUAUUUUCUUUUAAAAAAUAAUAAUAAAGGAAAGCUCUCGUCCUUUUACCAGGCGCCUCACCUGAAGGGACCACUCGGGCUUCAUUUUGCCUGUCGCGGUUCAAGCAAGACCCAGUCGGCCCCACGUCCCCUCCAAACCCCUUUCGCUCUUCUCUGCAGGAGCCCUCCGGGUCCUCCCGGACACUGCGCCCAGACCCUGGGCCUCCAGACUUGGGCCUUACUUGUGCUCCCUUGGGCAGGGGCUCCCCAGGCCCCAAAGCGGAAGGGUGCCCCUGCCUGCUGUCCGAGGCGCGCUAGUAGUGAGGCGCUCCUUCGGCUUCCAGAUCACAGAGAGGGGCCAAGGGAUACGGAGCGUUUUCGCUGGGCGAGCUGCCUACGGAGGAGGUUACCGGCGGAUGCGGAGACUGCUGAGCGGGGAUUAAGACGUGGGCUCUCUUCCGGGGAUGGAGAAAAGGGUAUCUAACACCUCCGGCUUUCCACCUCAGCCCGGACCCCUGCAAAUACCUGAUCCCAACCUACUUGCUGUCUAGAACACGAGCGCACAGAAGGCACAGAGCCCAGCCAUUCAGCAGCCGCCCGCGGGUAAAACGGAGUUCCAGAUACUGAAAACGGAGAGCGCGCAAUUCCGGCUUCGCUCUGCUUUUUGUGAACCACAGCAAAACAGCGCACAUCACGCUAAGAAGCUGGCAGCGGUGGGAUUCGAACCCACGCCCCCGAAGGGACUGGAGCCUUAAUCCAGCGCCUUAGACCGCUCGGCCACACUACCCUGCCGUAAAGAUGUUUGGGGUGUCUUCUUUCACUGCUGAUAACUUUCCAGAGGUCUUCAGGAAAAGAAAGCGUCGGAAAGACUAUAGGUUAGAGCAGAACCAUAUCCCGACCAGCAGGAUUAGUUUGACCAGAGCCGCUGGGCUCCAGGAGCGCAUUGCCAGAGAAGGAUCCGCGAAGCGCACACACUGCGCCUUGGUUUUGGGAAAGACUCUAACAAGUAACUCCCACCUUUCUCUUUGGGGAACGGGCGUGCAUGAACGCAGGGGAAGACUUCUAUAAUCUCACCUGUUUUUUUUUUUUAAUUAAACCCAUCAGCACUUUCAGAAGUGGCCGUGAUCUCAGAGGCCUCCACCCGUGCAAUUCUGCUGCGUGAGGUUUCCAUCCUUUUCAACAAGUGUUCCUGCUGGAGAUACCGGAUAUUGACACAACACCCUUGAUUGAAUACCAUACCGGGAAUCUUCCCUUCCCUCCCCAUCUUAAAAAAUCCAUUAAAGAAGAAAAAAAAACA